UACGUAGGUGGCAAGUGUUGUCCGGAUUUACUGGGCGUAAAGAGCGCGCAGGCGGUCGUUCAAGUCGCGUGUGAAAGCCCCCGGCUCAACUGGGGAGGGUCACGCGAUACUGAUCGACUGGAAGGCAGGAGAGGGUAGUGGAAUUCCCGGUGUAGUGGUGAAAUGCGUAGAUAUCGGGAGGAACACCAGUGGCGAAGGCGACUACCUGGCCUGUUCUUGACGCUGAGGCGCGAAAGCUAGGGGAGCAAACGGG
rnacentral:rRNA from 1 species